rnacentral:rRNA from 1 species
CACUCCUGCGGGAGGCAGCAGUGGGGAAUUUUGGACAAUGGGCGAAAGCCUGAUCCAGCAAUGCCGCGUGCAGGAUGAAGGCCUUCGGGUUGUAAACUGCUUUUGUACGGAACGAAAAAGCUCCUUCUAAUACAGGGGGCCCAUGACGGUACCGUAAGAAUAAGCACCGGCUAACUACGUGCCAGCAGCCGCGGUAAUACGUAGGGUGCGAGCGUUAAUCGGAAUUACUGGGCGUAAAGCGUGCGCAGGCGGUUAUGUAAGACAGAUGUGAAAUCCCCGGGCUCAACCUGGGAACUGCAUAUGUGACUGCAUGGCUAGAGUACGGUAGAGGGGGAUGGAAUUCCGCGUGUAGCAGUGAAAUGCGUAGAUAUGCGGAGGAACACCGAUGGCGAAGGCAAUCCCCUGGACCUGUACUGACGCUCAUGCACGAAAGCGUGGGGAGCAAACAGGAUUAGAAACCCCAGUAGUCCCAUGAU